CACACACACAGUCACACACAAACAGACAGUCACACACACACACAGUCACACAGACAGUCACACACUCACAGACAGUCACACACUCACACAGACACACUGACCUCCUUCUUACCUCCUGCUUGGAGCUCCUGGAGGCUGUUUGUUGGGGAAGCAGGGACUCCUUCCUGCUUCCCAUGCUGCAAUUAGCCGGCCCCGCCGCACAGUAAGCUCCGCCUCCGCCGCACGCUAAGCCCCGCCCC